GAACCCUUGGCACAGUGGUAGCGCGUGAGAUUCCAGUGUGGGUGCGAGCCCAUCUAGGGAAAUCCUCAAGGUCGUCCGUUCGAUCCGGGCAGGGUUCA
rnacentral:tRNA from 1 species